rnacentral:rRNA from 1 species
CAGCCGCCGCGGUAAUACGUAGGUCCCGAGCGUUGUCCGGAUUUAUUGGGCGUAAAGCGAGCGCAGGCGGUUAGAUAAGUCUGAAGUUAAAGGCUGUGGCUUAACCAUAGUACGCUUUGGAAACUGUUUAACUUGAGUGCAAGAGGGGAGAGUGGAAUUCCAUGUGUAGCGGUAAAAUGCGUAGAUCUCGAGAGGAACACCAAUGGCGAAGGCAGCUUCUUGGUCCAUUCCUGACGUUCAUACACGAAAGCGUGGGGAGCAAACAGGAUUAGAUACCCCCGUAGUCCCUGUCUCUUAUACA